AGAGUUUGAUCAUGGCUCAGGAUGAAUGCUGGCGGCGUGCCUAACACAUGCAAGUCGAGCGGUAAGGCCCUUCGGGGUACACGAGCGGCGGACGGCUGAGUAACGCGUGGGAAUUUGCCCCAAAGUGAGGAAUAACUGCCUGAAAGGGUAGCUAAUGCCGCAUAUGGUCUUCGGAUUAAAGGAUUUAUCCGCUUUGGGAGAAGCCCGCGUUGGAUUAGGUAGUUGGUGAGAUAAAAGCUCACCAAGCCAACGAUCCAUAGCUGGUCUGAGAGGAUGACCAGCCAGACUGGAACUGAGACACGGUCCAGACUCCUACGGGAGGCAGCAGUGAGGAAUCUUCCACAAUGGGCGAAAGCCUGAUGGAGCAACGCCGCGUGCAGGAUGAAGGCCUUCGGGUUGUAAACUGCUUUUAUGAGUGAAGAAUAUGACGGUAACUCAUGAAUAAGCACCGACUAACUACGUGCCAGCAGCCGCGGUAAUA
rnacentral:rRNA from 1 species